rnacentral:rRNA from 1 species
AUUGAACGCUAGCUGGAUGCCUUACACAUGCAAGUCGAACGGCGUGGCGAACGGGUGAGUAAUGUAUCGGAACGUGCCCAGUAGCGGGGGAUAACUACGCGAAAGCGUAGCUAAUACCGCAUACUAUUGGAGCGGCCGUUAGCGGAUUAGCUGGUUGGUGGGGGAACGGCUAACCAAGUCGACGAUCCGUAGCUGGUUUGAGAGGACGACCAGCCACCCUGGGACUGAGACACUGCCCAGACUCCUACGGGAGGCAGCAGUGGGGAAUUUUGGACAAUUGGUGAAACCCUGAUCCAGCCAUCCCGCGUGUGCGAUGAAGGCCUUCGGGUUUUAAAGCACUUUUGGCAGGAAAGCGGUACCUGCAGAAUAAGCACCGGCUAACUACGUGCCAGCAGCCGCGGUAAUUC